rnacentral:rRNA from 1 species
UACGUAGGGUCCGAGCGUUGUCCGGAAUUAUUGGGCGUAAAGGGCUCGUAGGCGGUUCGUCGCGUCGGGAGUGAAAACUCGGAGCUCAACUCCGAGCCUGCUUCCGAUACGGGCAGACUAGAGGUAGGCAGGGGAGAGCGGAACUCCUGGUGUAGCGGUGGAAUGCGCAGAUAUCAGGAAGAACACCGGUGGCGAAGGCGGCUCUCUGGGACGGUACUGACGCUGAGACGCGAAAGCGUGGGGAGCGAACAGG